rnacentral:rRNA from 1 species
CAGCCAUGCCGCGUGUAUGAAGAAGGCCUUCCGGGUUGUAAAGUACUUUCCAGCGGGGAGGAAGGGAGUAAAGUUAAUACCUUUUGCUCAUUUGACGUUACCCGCAGAAGAAGCACCGGCUAACUCCGUGCCAGCAGCCGCGGUAAUACGGAGGGUGCAAGCGUUAAUCGGAAUUUACUGGGGCGUAAAAGCGCACGCAGGCGGUUUUGUUUAAGUCAGAGAUGGUAAAAUCCCCGGGCUCAACCUGGGAACUGCAUCUGAUACUGGCAAGCUUGAGUCUCGUAGAGGGGGGUAGAAUUCCAGGUGUAGCGGUGAAAUGCGUAGAGAUCUGGAGGAAUACCGGUGGCGAAGGCGGCCCCUGGGAACGAAGGACUGACGCUCAGGUGCGAAAGCGUGGGGAGCAAACAGGAUUAAAUACCCUGGUAGUCCACCGCCGUAAACGAUGUCGACUUGGGAGGUUG